rnacentral:rRNA from 1 species
UACGGGGGGGGUAAGCGUUGUUCGGAAUUACUGGGCGUAAAGGGCUCGUAGGCGGCCAACUAAGUCAUACGUGAAAUCCCUCAGCUUAACCGGGGAACUGCAUCCGAUACUGGAUGGCUUGAGUUCGGGAGAGGGAUGCGGAAUUCCAGGUGUAGCGGUGAAAUGCGUAGAUAUCUGGAGGAACACCGGUGGCGAAGGCGGCAUCCUGGACCGACACUGACGCUGAGGAGCGAAAGCCAGGGGAGCAAACGGG